GAUGAAGAACGCAGCGAAAUGCGAUAAGUAGUGUGAAUUGCAGAAUUCAGUGAAUCAUCGAAUCUUUGAACGCACAUUGCGCCCCUUGGUAUUCCAUGGGGCAUGCCUGUUCGAGCGUCAUUUGUACCUUCAAGCUCUGCUUGUUGUUGGGUGUUUGUCUCGCCUCUGCGUGUAGACUCGCCUCAAAACAAUUGGCAGCCGGCGUAUUGAUUUCGGAGCGCAGUACAUCUCGCGCUUUGCACUCAUAACGACGACGUCCAAAAGUACAUUUUUACACUCUUGACCUCGGAUCAGGUAGGGAUACCCGCUGAACUUAAGCAUAUCAAUAAGCGGAGGA
rnacentral:misc_RNA from 1 species